rnacentral:rRNA from 1 species
AGAGUUUGAUCCUGGCUCAGAAUGAACGUUGGCGGCGUGGAUUAGGCAUGCAAGUCGCGCGAGAAAUUUCCUUCGGGAGAUGGACAGCGGCGAAAGGGAGAGGAAUAAGUAGAAAUCUGCCCUCGGGACGGGGAUAGCGGCGGGAAACUGCCGGUAAUACCCGAUAACAUCUUCGGAUCAAAUGGUGUGAUUCCGCCUGGGGAUGAGUCUACUUCCUAUUAGCUAGUUGGCGGGGUAAUGGCCCACCAAGGCAACGAUGGGUAGCGGGUGUGAGAGCACGAUCCGCCUCACUGGGACUGAGACACUGCCCAGACACCUACGGGUGGCUGCAGUCGAGAAUCUUCGGCAAUGGGGGAAACCCUGACCGAGCGACGCCGCGUGCGGGAUGAAGGCCCUCGGGUUGUAAACCGCUGUCGUAAGGGAACAAAUCUAUGAGGGUACUCCCUUGUAGUUGAGUGAUCUUAGGAGGAAGGACGGGCUAAGUUCGUGCCAGCAGCCGCGGUAAGACGAACCGUCCGAACGUUAUUCGGUAUCACUGGGCUUAAAGAGUUCGUAGGCGGCCCGACAGGUGAGGUGUGAAAUCCCUCGGCUCAACCGAGGAAUUGCGCUUCAAACCGUCAGGCUUGAGGGAGAUAGAGGUGAGCGGAACAGAUGGUGGAGCGGUGAAAUGCGUUGAUAUCAUCUGGAACACCGGUGGCGAAAGCGGCUCACUGGAUCUUUUCUGACGCUGAGGCACGAAAGCUAGGGGAGUGAACGGGAUUAGAUACCCCGGUAAUCCUAGCCGUAAACACUGAGCACUG